GAUGAACGCUGGCGGCGUGCCUAAUACAUGCAAGUCGAGCGAAUGGAUUAAGAGCUUGCUCUUAUGAAGUUAGCGGCGGACGGGUGAGUAACACGUGGGUAACCUGCCCAUAAGACUGGGAUAACUCCGGGAAACCGGGGCUAAUACCGGAUAACAUUUUGAACCGCAUGGUUCGAAAUUGGAAGGCGGCUUCGGCUGUCACUUAUGGAUGGACCCGCGUCGCAUUAGCUAGUUGGUGAGGUAACGGCUCACCAAGGCAACGAUGCGUAGCCGACCUGAGAGGGUGAUCGGCCACACUGGGACUGAGACACGGCCCAGACUCCUACGGGAGGCAGCAGUAGGGAAUCUUCCGCAAUGGACGAAGGUCUGACGGAGCAACGCCGCGUGAGUGAUGAAGGCUUUCGGGUCGUAAAACUCUGUUGUUAGGGAAGAACAAGUGCUAGUUGAAUAAGCUGGCACCUUGACGGUACCUAACCAGAAAGCCACGGCUAACUACGUGCCAGCCGCCGCGGUAA
rnacentral:rRNA from 1 species